rnacentral:tRNA from 1 species
GGACCGUUAGCUCAAAAGUAGAGUGCUCGCUUGACAUGCGAGAGGUAGUAGGAGCGUUACCUACACGGUCCACCA